CUGAUCCAGCCAUGCCGCGUGUGUGAAGAAGGCCUUAUGGUUGUAAAGCACUUUAAGCGAGGAGGAGGCUACUUUAGAUAAUACCUAGAGAUAGUGGACGUUACUCGCAGAAUAAGCACCGGCUAACUCUGUGCCAGCAGCCGCGGUAAUACAGAGGGUGCAAGCGUUAAUCGGAUUUACUGGGCGUAAAGCGCGCGUAGGCGGCUAAUUAAGUCAAAUGUGAAAUCCCCGAGCUUAACUUGGGAAUUGCAUUCGAUACUGGUUAGCUAGAGUGUGGGAGAGGAUGGUAGAAUUCCAGGUGUAGCGGUGAAAUGCGUAGAGAUCUGGAGGAAUACCGAUGGCGAAGGCAGCCAUCUGGCCUAACACUGACGCUGAGGUGCGAAAGCAUGGGGAGCAAACAGGAUUAGAUACCCUGGUAGUCCAUGCCGUAAACGAUGUCUACUAGCCGUUGGGGCCUUUGAGGCUUUAGUGGCGCAGCUAACGCGAUAAGUAGACCGCCUGGGGAGUACGGUCGCAAGACUAAAACUCAAAUGAAUUGACGGGGGCCCGCACAAGCGGUGGAGCAUGUGGUUUAAUUCGAUGCAACGCGAAGAACCUUACCUGGCCUUGACAUAGUAAGAACUUUCCAGAGAUGGAUUGGUGCCUUCGGGAACUUACAUACAGGUGCUGCAUGGCUGUCGUCAGCUCGUGUCGUGAGAUGUUGGGUUAAGUCCCGCAACGAGCGCAACCCUUUUCCUUAUUUGCCAGCGAGUAAUGUCGGGAACUUUAAGGAUACUGCCAGUGACAAACUGGAGGAAGGCGGGGACGACGUCAAGUCAUCAUGGCCCUUACGGCCAGGGCUACACACGUGCUACAAUGGUCGGUACAAAGGGUUGCUACCUAGCGAUAGGAUGCUAAUCUCAAAAAGCCGAUCGUAGUCCGGAUUGGAGUCUGCAACUCGACUCCAUGAAGUCGGAAUCGCUAGUAAUCGCGGAUCAGAAUGCCGCGGUGAAUACGUUCCCGGGCCUUGUACACACCGCCCGUCACACCAUGGGAGUUUGUUGCACCAGAAGUAGCUAGCCUAAC
rnacentral:rRNA from 1 species